rnacentral:piRNA from 1 species
UGCCUCCUUGACUCGUGCUGCUUUCUUUU